AACGAACGCUGGCGGCAUGCCUAACACAUGCAAGUCGAACGAAACCUUCCUGUUUUGUUGCGCACGUCUGCUUGACGCCUGGUAACCUACCCUUAGGUUCCGUAUAACUCCCCUUAGGGUGUCCUAAUGCAGCUUAGUGUCAUCGGACCAAAGAUUUAUGGCCGUUGGAUGGGCGCGCGUUAGAUUCGCCAGUUGGUAGUGUAAAAGCCUAUCAUGGCGACGAUGCAUAGCUGGUGUGUGAGCAGGAUCAUCCACACUGGGGCUGCGACACGGCCCAGACUCCUACGGGAGGCAGCAGUGGGUAAUAUUGGACGAUGGGCGAAGGUCUGACACAGCAAUGCCGCGUGAGUGAUGAAGGCGGUAGUGUUGCAAAGCUGUUUUACACGAGAUGAUAAUGACAGUACCGGGAGAAUAAGCUCCGGCUAACUACGUG
rnacentral:rRNA from 1 species